rnacentral:rRNA from 1 species
GGUGCCUUCGGGAACUGUGAGACAGGUGCUGCAUGGCUGUCGUCAGCUCGUGUUGUGAAAUGUUGGGUUAAGUCCCGCAACGAGCGCAACCCUUAUCCUUUGUUGCCAGCGGUUGGGCCGGGAACUCAAAGGAGACUGCCAGUGAUAAACUGGAGGAAGGUGGGGAUGACGUCAAGUCAUCAUGGCCCUUACGACCAGGGCUACACACGUGCUACAAUGGCGCAUACAAAGAGAAGCAAUCUCGCGAGAGCUAGCGGACCUCAUAAAGUGCGUCGUAGUCCGGAUUGGAGUCUGCAACUCGACUCCAUGAAGUCGGAAUCGCUAGUAAUCGUGAAUCAGAAUGUCACGGUGAAUACGUUCCCG